GUGUCCCACGGGACGCAGCAGUGAGGAAUAUUGGUCAAUGGGAGAGAUCCUGAACCAGCCAAGUCGCGUGAGGGAAGAAGGCCCUGCGGGUCGCAGACCUCUUUGGACGGGGAGCAAGGCCGCCGACGUGUCGGCGGAAGGAGAGUACCCGUAGAACAAGCAUCGGCUAACUCCGUGCCAGCAGCCGCGGUAAUACGGAGGAUGCGAGCGUUAUCCGCAUUUAUUGGGUUUAAAGGGUGCGCAGGCGGCACGGCAAGCCGGCGGUCAAAUGGCGGG
rnacentral:rRNA from 1 species